AUUGAACGCUGGCGGCAGGCUUAACACAUGCAAGUCGAACGAUGAGUCUCUAGCUUGCUCGAGAUGAUUAGUGGCGGACGGGUGAGUAACAUUUAGGAAUCUACCUAGUAGUGGGGGAUAGCUCGGGGAAACUCGAAUUAAUACCGCAUACGACCUACGGGUGAAAGGGGGCGCAAGCUCUUGCUAUUAGAUGAGCCUAAAUCAGAUUAGCUAGUUGGUGGGGUAAAGGCCCACCAAGGCGACGAUCUGUAACUGGUCUGAGAGGAUGAUCAGUCACACCGGAACUGAGACACGGUCCGGACUCCUACGGGAGGCAGCAGUGGGGAAUAUUGGACAAUGGGGGCAACCCUGAUCCAGCCAUGCCGCGUGUGUGAAGAAGGCCUUUUGGUUGUAAAGCACUUUAAGCAGGGAGGAGAGGCUAAUGGUUAAUACCCAUUAGAUUAGACGUUACCUGCAGAAUAAGCACCGGCUAACUCUGUG
rnacentral:rRNA from 1 species